ensembl:miRNA
ACACACACAGAUACAGAGGCGACUACACAUCAGCUCCUUGUUAAUCUGAUUCUGUGUGUCAG